CCUACGGGUGGCAGCAGUGGGGAAUAUUGCACAAUGGGCGAAAGCCUGCUGCAGCAACGCCGCGUGAAGGAAGAAGGGUUUCGGCUCGUAAACUUCUAUUAACAGGGACGAAAGAAAUGACGGUACCUGAAUAAGAAGCCCCGGCUAACUACGUGCCAGCAGCCGCGGUAAUCCGUAGGGGGCAAGCGUUCUCCGGAAUUACUGGGUGUAAAGGGUGAGUAGGCGGCAUGGUAAGCCAGAUGUGAAAGCCUUGGGCUUAACCCGAGGAUUGCAUUUGGAACUAUCAAGCUAGAGUACAGGAGAGGAAAGCGGAAUUCCUAGUGUAGGAGUGAAAUCCGUAGAUAUUAGAAGGAACACCAAUAGCGUAGGCAGGUUACUGGGACGGUUCUGACACUAAGGCACGAAAGCGUAGGGAGCAAACGGGAUUAGAUACCCUUGUAGUC
rnacentral:rRNA from 1 species